UACCUGGUUGAUCCUGCCAGUAGUCAUAUGCUUGUCUCAAAGAUUAAGCCAUGCAAGUCUAAGUACGAGCUCUCGUACAGUGAAACUGCGAAUGGCUCAUUAAAUCAGUUAUGGUUCAUUUGAUCGUACAGUUUACUUGGAUAACUGUGGUAAUUCUAGAGCUAAUACAUGCGAGAAGCGCCGACCUCGCGGGAGGCGUGCAUUUAUCAGACCAAAAACCGGCCGCGUCUUCGGGCGCGUUCGCCUUGGUGACUCUGGAUAACUUUGCGGAUCGCACGGUCUAGCACCGGCGACGGAUCAUUCAAGUGUCUGCCCUAUCAACUUUCGUCGGUACGGUAUUUGCCUACCGAGGUUCUUACGGGUGACGGGGAAUCAGGGUUCGAUUCCGGAGA
rnacentral:ncRNA from 1 species